AGAUUAAGUUAUUAAGGGCGCACGGUGGAUGCCUUGGCACUAGAAGCCGAUGAAGGACGUUACUAACGACGAUAUGCUUUGGGGAGCUGUAAGUAAGCUUUGAUCCAGAGAUUUCCGAAUGGGGAAACCCAGCAUGAGUUAUGUCAUGUUAUCGAUAUGUGAAUACAUAGCAUAUCAGAAGGCACACCCGGAGAACUGAAACAUCUUAGUACCCGGAGGAAGAGAAAGAAAAUUCGAUUCCCUUAGUAGCGGCGAGCGAAACGGGAAGAGCCCAAACCAACAAGCUUGCUUGUUGGGGUUGUAGGACACUCUAUACGGAGUUACAAAGGACGACAUUAGACGAAUCAUCUGGAAAGAUGAAUCAAAGAAGGUAAUAAUCCUGUAGUCGAAAAUGUUGUCUCUCUUGAGUGGAUCCUGAGUACGACGGAGCACGUGAAAUUCCGUCGGAAUCUGGGAGGACCAUCUCCUAAGGCUAAAUACUCUCUAGUGACCGAUAGCGAACCAGUACCGUGAGGGAAAGGUGAAAAGCACCCCGGAAGGGGAGUGAAAUAGAACCUGAAACCGUGUGCUUACAAGUAGUCAGAGCCCGUUAAUGGGUGAUGGCGUGCCUUUUGUAGAAUGAACCGGCGAGUUACGAUUUGAUGCAAGGUUAAGCAGUAAAUGUGGAGCCGUAGCGAAAGCGAGUCUGAAUAGGGCGUUUAGUAUUUGGUCGUAGACCCGAAACCAGGUGAUCUACCCUUGGUCAGGUUGAAGUUCAGGUAACACUGAAUGGAGGACCGAACCGACUUACGUUGAAAAGUGAGCGGAUGAACUGAGGGUAGCGGAGAAAUUCCAAUCGAACCUGGAGAUAGCUGGUUCUCUCCGAAAUAGCUUUAGGGCUAGCCUCAAGUGAUGAUUAUUGGAGGUAGAGCACUGUUUGGACGAGGGGCCCCUCUCGGGUUACCGAAUUCAGACAAACUCCGAAUGCCAAUUAAUUUAACUUGGGAGUCAGAACAUGGGUGAUAAGGUCCGUGUUCGAAAGGGAAACAGCCCAGACCACCAGCUAAGGUCCCAAAAUAUAUGUUAAGUGGAAAAGGAUGUGGCGUUGCCCAGACAACUAGGAUGUUGGCUUAGAAGCAGCCAUCAUUUAAAGAGUGCGUAAUAGCUCACUAGUCGAGUGACACUGCGCCGAAAAUGUACCGGGGCUAAACAUAUUACCGAAGCUGUGGAUUGUCCUUUGGACAAUGGUAGGAGAGCGUUCUAAGGGCGUUGAAGCAUGAUCGUAAGGACAUGUGGAGCGCUUAGAAGUGAGAAUGCCGGUGUGAGUAGCGAAAGACGGGUGAGAAUCCCGUCCACCGAUUGACUAAGGUUUCCAGAGGAAGGCUCGUCCGCUCUGGGUUAGUCGGGUCCUAAGCUGAGGCCGACAGGCGUAGGCGAUGGAUAACAGGUUGAUAUUCCUGUACCACCUAUAAUCGUUUUAAUCGAUGGGGGGACGCAGUAGGAUAGGCGAAGCGUGCGAUUGGAUUGCACGUCUAAGCAGUAAGGCUGAGUAUUAGGCAAAUCCGGUACUCAUUAAGGCUGAGCUGUGAUGGGGAGAAGACAUUGUGUCUUCGAGUCGUUGAUUUCACACUGCCGAGAAAAGCCUCUAGAUAGAAAAUAGGUGCCCGUACCGCAAACCGACACAGGUAGUCAAGAUGAGAAUUCUAAGGUGAGCGAGCGAACUCUCGUUAAGGAACUCGGCAAAAUGACCCCGUAACUUCGGGAGAAGGGGUGCUCUUUAGGGUUAACGCCCAGAAGAGCCGCAGUGAAUAGGCCCAAGCGACUGUUUAUCAAAAACACAGGUCUCUGCUAAACCGUAAGGUGAUGUAUAGGGGCUGACGCCUGCCCGGUGCUGGAAGGUUAAGAGGAGUGGUUAGCUUCUGCGAAGCUACGAAUCGAAGCCCCAGUAAACGGCGGCCGUAACUAUAACGGUCCUAAGGUAGCGAAAUUCCUUGUCGGGUAAGUUCCGACCCGCACGAAAGGCGUAACGAUUUGGGCACUGUCUCAACGAGAGACUCGGUGAAAUCAUAGUACCUGUGAAGAUGCAGGUUACCCGCGACAGGACGGAAAGACCCCGUGGAGCUUUACUGUAGCCUGAUAUUGAAAUUCGGCACAGCUUGUACAGGAUAGGUAGGAGCCUUUGAAACGUGAGCGCUAGCUUACGUGGAGGCGCUGGUGGGAUACUACCCUAGCUGUGUUGGCUUUCUAACCCGCACCACUUAUCGUGGUGGGAGACAGUGUCAGGCGGGCAGUUUGACUGGGGCGGUCGCCUCCUAAAAGGUAACGGAGGCGCUCAAAGGUUCCCUCAGAAUGGUUGGAAAUCAUUCAUAGAGUGUAAAGGCAUAAGGGAGCUUGACUGCGAGACCUACAAGUCGAGCAGGGUCGAAAGACGGACUUAGUGAUCCGGUGGUUCCGCAUGGAAGGGCCAUCGCUCAACGGAUAAAAGCUACCCCGGGGAUAACAGGCUUAUCUCCCCCAAGAGUUCACAUCGACGGGGAGGUUUGGCACCUCGAUGUCGGCUCAUCGCAUCCUGGGGCUGUAGUCGGUCCCAAGGGUUGGGCUGUUCGCCCAUUAAAGCGGUACGCGAGCUGGGUUCAGAACGUCGUGAGACAGUUCGGUCCCUAUCCGUCGUGGGCGUAGGAAAUUUGAGAGGAGCUGUCCUUAGUACGAGAGGACCGGGAUGGACAUACCUCUGGUGUACCAGUUGUCGUGCCAACGGCAUAGCUGGGUAGCUAUGUGUGGACGGGAUAAGUGCUGAAAGCAUCUAAGCAUGAAGCCCCCCUCAAGAUGAGAUUUCCCAACUUCGGUUAUAAGAUCCCUCAAAGAUGAUGAGGUUAAUAGGUUCGAGGUGGAAGCAUGGUGACAUGUGGAGCUGACGAAUACUAAUCGAUCGAAGACUUAAUCAAAUU
rnacentral:rRNA from 1 species